rnacentral:misc_RNA from 1 species
UCCGGUUUGUCACCGGCAGUCUCCCUAGAGUGCCCUUGCGUAGCAACUAGGGACAAGGGUUGCGCUCGUUGCGGGACUUAACCCAACAUCUCACGACACGAGCUGACGACAGCCAUGCAGCACCUGUGUUACGGCUCUCUUUCGAGCACGCCUCAAUCUCUCGAGGCUUCCGUACAUGUCAAGGGUAGGUAAGGUUUUUCGCGUUGCAUCGAAUUAAUCCACAUCAUCCACCGCUUGUGCGGGUCCCCGUCAAUUCCUUUGAGUUUUAAGCUUGCGCUCGUAGUUCCCAGGCGGGCCACUUCCCGCGUUAGCUAAGGCCCCCAAAGACGGAGAUUCCGCCUCCAAAGGCCGAGUGGCCAUCGUUUACGGCGUGGACUAC